rnacentral:rRNA from 42 species
UUAAAUUGAAGAGUUUGAUCAUGGCUCAGAUUGAACGCUGGCGGCAGGCCUAACACAUGCAAGUCGAACG